GACGAACGCUGGCGGCGUGCUUAACACAGGCAAGUCGAACGGAAAGGCCCUGCUUUUGUGGGGUGCUCGAGUGGCGAACGGGUGAGUAACACGUGAGUAACCUGCCCUUGACUUUGGGAUAACUUCAGGAAACUGGGGCUAAUACCGGAUAGGAGCUCCUGCUGCAUGGUGGGGGUCGGAAAGUUUCGGCGGUUGGGGAUGGACUCGCGGCUUAUCAGCUUGUUGGUGGGGUAGUGGCUUACCAAGGCUUUGACGGGUAGCCGGCCUGAGAGGGUGACCGGCCACAUUGGGACUGCGAUACGGCCCAGACUCCUACGGGAGGCAGCAGUGGGGAAUAUUGCACAAUGGGCGGAAGCCUGAUGCAGCAACGCCGCGUCCGGGAUGACGGCCUUCGGGUUGUAGCCCGCUUUCGCCUGUGACGAAGCGUGAGUGACGGUAAUGGGUACAGAAGCACCGGCUAACUACGUG
rnacentral:rRNA from 1 species